rnacentral:rRNA from 1 species
GCAAGUCGAGCGCACCUUCGGGUGAGCGGCGGACGGGUUAGUAACGCGUGGGAAUAUACCCUUCUCUACGGAAUAGCCUUGGGAAACUGAGAGUAAUACCGUAUAAGCCCUUCGGGGGAAAGAUUUAUCGGUGAAGGAUUAGCCCGCGUUGGAUUAGGUAGUUGGUGAGGUAAUGGCCUACCAAGUCGACGAUCUAUAGCUGGUUUGAGAGGAUGAUC